GACGAACGCUGGCGGCGCGCCUAACACAUGCAAGUCGAACGGAGUCAAGAGGAGCUUGCUUUUCUUGACUUAGUGGCGAACGGGUGAGUAACGCGUGAGUAACCUGCCCUGGAGUGGGGGACAACAGUUGGAAACGACUGCUAAUACCGCAUAAGCCCACGGAUCCGCAUGGCUCUGCGGGAAAAGGAUUUAUUCGCUUCAGGAUGGACUCGCGUCCAAUUAGCUAGUUGGUGAGGUAACGGCCCACCAAGGCGACGAUUGGUAGCCGGACUGAGAGGUUGAACGGCCACAUUGGGACUGAGACACGGCCCAGACUCCUACGGGAGGCAGCAGUGGGGGAUAUUGCACAAUGGGGGAAACCCUGAUGCAGCGACGCCGCGUGGAGGAAGAAGGUUUUCGGAUUGUAAACUCCUGUCGUGAGGGACGAUAAUGACGGUACCUAACAAGAAAGCACCGGCUAACUACGUG
rnacentral:rRNA from 1 species